CACCAGGCAGAAUGGAGUACAUCGGGACUUAGCUCAAUUCGCAUUCCAUCUGUUCUACUCGGCCCUCUCCGAGUGAACCUUCACUCCUUAGUGAAAACCACCCUCAGAGUUUUAGCUGCCUCAGUGACUUGCCUUUUCGCAACCUCCUGCUAGCUACUUACCCUUACAAGCCACUGAUCCUAGCUCUCCGAAGAACUCGAAG
rnacentral:lncRNA from 1 species